AACGAACGCUGGCGGCAGGCUUAACACAUGCAAGUCGAACGCCCCGCAAGGGGAGUGGCAGACGGGUGAGUAACGCGUGGGAAUCUACCGUACCCUACGGGAUAACGCAUGGAAACGUGUGCUAAUACCGUAUACGCCCUACGGGGGAAAGAUUUAUCGGGGUAUGAUGAGCCCGCGUUGGAUUAGCUAGUUGGUGGGGUAAAGGCCUACCAAGGCGACGAUCCAUAGCUGGUCUGAGAGGAUGAUCAGCCACAUUGGGACUGAGACACGGCCCAAACUCCUACGGGAGGCAGCAGUGGGGAAUAUUGGACAAUGGGCGCAAGCCUGAUCCAGCCAUGCCGCGUGAGUGAUGAAGGCCCUAGGGUUGUAAAGCUCUUUCACCGGUGAAGAUAAUGACGGUAACCGGAGAAGAAGCCCCGGCUAACUUCGUGCCAGCAGCCGCAGUAAGAC
rnacentral:rRNA from 1 species